CCUACGGGUGGCAGCAGUGGGGAAUAUUGGACAAUGGGCGAAAGCCUGAUCCAGCCAUGCCGCGUGUGUGAAGAAGGCCUUCGGGUUGUAAAGCACUUUCAGUGGGGAAGAAAGCCUUGGGGCUAAUACCCUCGAGGAAGGACAUCACCCACAGAAGAGGCACCGGCUAACUCCGUGCCAGCAGCCGCGGUAAUACGGAGGGUGCGAGCGUUAAUCGGAAUUACUGGGCGUACAGCGCGCGUAGGCGGUCUGAUAAGCCGGUUGUGAAAGCCCCGGGCUCAAACUGGGAACGGCAUCCGGAACUGUCAGGCUAGAGUGCAGGAGAGGAAGGUAGAAUUCCCGGUGUAGCGGUGAAAUGCGUAGAGAUCGGGAGGAAUACCAGUGGCGAAGGCGGCCUUCUGGACUGACACUGACGCUGAGGUGCGAAAGCGUGGGUAGCAAACAGGAUUAGAUACCCGGGUAGUC
rnacentral:rRNA from 1 species